GACGAACGCUGGCGGCGUGCUUAACACAUGCAAGUCGAACGGAAAGGCCCUGCUUGCAGGGUACUCGAGUGGCGAACGGGUGAGUAACACGUGGGUGAUCUGCCCUGCACUUCGGGAUAAGCUUGGGAAACUGGGUCUAAUACCGGAUAGGAGCCAUCUUUAGUGUGGUGGUUGGAAAGUUUUUUCGGUGUAGGAUGAGCUCGCGGCCUAUCAGCUUGUUGGUGGGGUAAUGGCCUACCAAGGCGGCGACGGGUAGCCGGCCUGAGAGGGUGUACGGCCACAUUGGGACUGAGAUACGGCCCAGACUCCUACGGGAGGCAGCAGUGGGGAAUGUUGCACAAUGGGCGCAAGCCUGAUGCAGCGACGCCGCGUGGGGGAUGAAGGCCUUCGGGUUGUAAACUCCUUUCGCUAGGGACGAAGCGUUGUUGUGACGGUACCUAGAUAAGAAGCACCGGCUAACUACGUG
rnacentral:rRNA from 1 species